rnacentral:rRNA from 1 species
UUAAGUUAUUAAGGGCGCACGGCGAAUGCCUUGGCACUAGGAGCCGAAGAAGGACGGCACUAACACCGAUAUGCUUCGGGGAGCUGUAAGUGAGCUUUGAUCCGGAGAUUUCCGAAUGGGGGAACCCACUACGUUUAAUCGCGUAGUAUCUUGACGUGAAUACAUAGCGUCUUGAAGGCAGACCCAGGGAACUGAAACAUCUAAGUACCUGGAGGAAGAGAAAGAAAAAUCGAUUCCCUGAGUAGCGGCGAGCGAAACGGGAAGAGCCCAAACCAAGAGGCUUGCCUCUUGGGGUUGUAGGACACUCUAUACGGAGUUACAAAGGAAUGAGUUAGAUGAAGCGACUUGGAAAGGUCCGCCAGAGCAGGUAAAAGCCCUGUAGUCGAAAGUUCGUUCCCUCCAGAGUGGAUCCUGAGUACGGCGGAACACGUGAAAUUCCGUCGGAAUCCGGGAGGACCAUCUCCCAAGGCUAAAUACUACCUAGUGACCGAUAGUGAACCAGUACCGUGAGGGAAAGGUGAAAAGCACCCCGGAAGGGGAGUGAAAGAGAUCCUGAAACCGUGUGCCUACAAGUAGUUAGAGCCCGUUAAUGGGUGAUAGCGUGCCUUUUGUAGAAUGAACCGGCGAGUUACGAUUACGUGCGAGGUUAAGCUUUAGAAGGCGGAGCCGCAGCGAAAGCGAGUCUGAAUAGGGCGAAUUAGUACGUGGUCGUAGACCCGAAACCAGGUGAUCUACCCAUGUCCAGGGUGAAGGUGAGGUAACACUUACUGGAGGCCCGAACCCACGCACGUUGAAAAGUGCGGGGAUGAGGUGUGGGUAGCGGAGAAAUUCCAAUCGAACUUGGAGAUAGCUGGUUCUCUCCGAAAUAGCUUUAGGGCUAGCCUCGUGAUGAGAAUACUGGAGGUAGAGCACUGUUUGGACUAGGGGGCCAUCCCGGUUUACCGAAUUCAGACAAACUCCGAAUGCCAGAUAUUUAUACACGGGAGUCAGACUGCGAGUGAUAAGAUCCGUAGUCAAAAGGGAAACAGCCCAGACCACCAGCUAAGGUCCCAAAGUAAUCGUUAAGUGGAAAAGGAUGUGGCGUUGCACAGACAACCAGGAUGUUGGCUUAGAAGCAGCCAUCAUUUAAAGAGUGCGUAAUAGCUCACUGGUCGAGUGACGCUGCGCCGAAAAUGUAUCGGGGCUAAACGAUUCACCGAAGCUGUGGAUUGACAUCUACGAUGUCAGUGGUAGGAGAGCGUUCUAAGUGCGUUGAAGUCAGACCGGAAGGACUGGUGGAGCGCUUAGAAGUGAGAAUGCCGGUAUGAGUAGCGAAAGACGGGUGAGAAUCCCGUCCACCGUAUGACUAAGGUUUCCUGAGGAAGGCUCGUCCGCUCAGGGUUAGUCGGGACCUAAGCCGAGGCCGAUAGGCGUAGGCGAUGGACAACAGGUUGAUAUUCCUGUACCACCUCCUCACCGUUUGAGAAAUGGGGGGACGCAGUAGGAUAGGGUAAGCGCGCCGUUGGUUGUGCGCGUCCAAGCAGUAAGGCGUGUGUGUAGGCAAAUCCGCACACUGUAACGUUGAGCUGUGAUGGCGAGUCCGUAUGGACGAAGUUCCUGAUUUCACACUGCCAAGAAAAGCCUCUAUCGAGGUGAGAGGUGCCCGUACCGCAAACCGACACAGGUAGUCGAGGAGAGAAUCCUAAGGUGUGCGAGAGAACUCUCGUUAAGGAACUCGGCAAAAUGACCCCGUAACUUCGGGAGAAGGGGUGCUCUUGAGCGUGCAAGCGCAUGAGAGCCGCAGUGAAUAGGCCCAGGCGACUGUUUAGCAAAAACACAGGUCUCUGCAAAACCGUAAGGUGACGUAUAGGGGCUGACGCCUGCCCGGUGCUGGAAGGUUAAGAGGAGUGGUUAGCGCAAGCGAAGCUGCGAAUUGAAGCCCCAGUAAACGGCGGCCGUAACUAUAACGGUCCUAAGGUAGCGAAAUUCCUUGUCGGGUAAGUUCC